CCUACGAGCGGCUGCAGUGAGGAAUAUUGGUCAAUGGGCGGAAGCCUGAACCAGCCAAGUCGCGUGAGGGAAUAAGGCCCUACGGGUCGUAAACCUCUUUUGCCGGGGAGCAAGGUCCGGGACGUGUCCCCUCCCGUAGGGUACCCGUAAAAAAAGCAUCGGCUAACUCCGUGCCCGCACCCGCGGUAAUACGGGGGAUCCGGGUGUUAUCCGGUUUUUUUGGGUUGAAGGGGUGCUCAAGCGGAUGUUUAAGUCGGCGGUCAAAUCGUGGGGCUCAACCCAAGCAAGCCGUUGAAACUGGGGAUCUAGAGUGUGCGAGAGGUAGGAGGAAUGCGUGGUGUAGCGGUGAAAUGCAUAGAUAGCACGCAGAACCCCGAUUGCGAAGGCAGCAUACCGGGGCACAACUGACGCUCAGGCACGAAAGCGUGGGUAUCGAACAGGAUUAGAUACCCCUGUAGUC
rnacentral:rRNA from 1 species